GUGACUCUGAUUGGUCAUCAUCAUAAUGUGCUGCUAUUCGUAGAUCGGCUCCACGUCACGCCCGUAAAAGCAUGCGCUUUUUAACCUCCCGCCCGUUCUCUAAAAUAACAUCUGACAAGUGUCUGUAACGAGGGAAAAUGGGGUGCAGCUCCUUACACAGCGUUUGUGUGUGCGUCUAUGUGUGUGUGAAUGUGUGAACUUUCUGUAACAAGCGCAAGUGUGCGGGACUUUUUUUUUACUCUGAUGCUCGGAUUAAGUUAUUUUCUGUAAUAUAUCGUGACAGAAGAAUAAAGCACAAGAUGUGGGAUGCUACCUGUUGAGACCUUGAUUUAUUAUUGUAGCUGCCGUCAGAAGCAAUGCUUAUAUAUUACACUCUAUAAACAUAAACUUUACAUUAAAAAAGUCAAUAAAUAGUUAAAAUGUUCAGAGUAAUCAUUAGAAUAAAUAAGUAAUGUACAUUUGUUGUUAAUGCAUGUUAAUUCAUUUAAAGUUAUUUAACUAAAACUAUAAGGGGGAGGGGGGAACCUUUUCUUGUUAUGUUUAGCUUGGGAAUUAUUUCAUUGUUGCAAUCAAGAUAUUCUUCCGAUGCACUACAAGUAGUUCAGCCACAAGGUGCUGUGCUAAAACAAGUUUUUAAAGAUUAAGAAGUGCAAAGAAGUUUGUUUAAGAGAAACUGCAACCCUUCAAGUUUAUUCCUCUUGAGUUAGAGAGGCCAAUGAGUUCUGACGGCAAUAUUGGGACAUAAAGGAGUGCAAGGCUAGAAUGUACAAGACAUACUACAGACUCGUGUCCGAAUAAAUGUCAGUUAAAAUCAA